UCAGAACGUACGCUGGCGGCACGCCUAACACAUGCAAGUCGAACGAAGUAGCAAUACUUAGUGGCAGACGGGUGAGUAACAUGUGGGUAUCUGCCCUUUGGCCUGGAAUAACACGAGGAAACUUGUGCUAAUACCGGAUAAGUCUUUACGGAGAAAGCUUUAGCACCAUUGGAUGAGCCCGCACUUGAUUAGUUUGUUGGUGGGGUAAUGGCCUACCAAGACUGUGAUCAAUAGCUGAUUUGAGAGGAUGAUCAGCCACAUUGGGACUGAGACACGGCCCAAACUCCUACGGGAGGCAGCAGUGGGGAAUCUUGCACAAUGGAGGAAACUCUGAUGCAGCGAUGCCGCGUGAGUGAAGAAGGCCUUUGGGUUGUAAAGCUCUUUCGUCGGGGAAGAAAAUGACUGUACCCGAAUAAGAAGGUCCGGCUAACUUCGUGCCAGCAGCCGCGGUAAUACGAAGGGACCUAGCGUAGUUCGGAAUUACUGGGCUUAAAGAGUUCGUAGGUGGUUGAAAAAGUUGGUGGUGAAAUCCCAGAGCUUAACUCUGGAACUGCCAUCAAAACUUUUCAGCUAGAGUUUGAUAGAGGAAAGCAGAAUUUCUAGUGUAGAGGUGAAAUUCGUAGAUAUUAGAAAGAAUACCAAUUGCGAAGGCAGCUUUCUGGAUCAUUACUGACACUGAGGAACGAAAGCAUGGGUAGCGAAGAGGAUUAGAUACCCUCGUAGUCCAUGCCGUAAACGAUGUGUGUUAGACGUUGGAAAUUUAUUUUCAGUGUCGCAGCGAAAGCGAUAAACACACCGCCUGGGGAGUACGACCGCAAGGUUAAAACUCAAAUGAAUUGACGGGGACCCGCACAAGUAGUGGAGCAUGUGGUUUAAUUCGAAGAUACGCGCAGAACCUUACCAACACUUGACAUGUUCGUGCGACUUAAGAGAUUAAGUUUUCGGUUCGCCGGACGAAACACAGGUGCUGCAUGGCUGUCGUCAGCUCGUGUCGUGAGAUGUUGGGUUAAGUCCCGCAACGAGCGCAACCCUCACUUUUAGUUGCCAUCAUUUAUUGGGCACUCUGAAAGAACUGCCAGUGAUAAGCUGGAGGAAGGUGGGGAUGACGUCAAGUCCUCAUGGCCCUUACGUGUUGGGCUACACACGUGCUACAAUGGUAUCUACAACAGGAAGCAAAACAGCGAUGUUAAGCAAAUCCUUAAAAGAUACCUCAGUUCGGAUUGCACUCUGCAACUCGAGUGCAUGAAGCUGGAAUUACUAGUAAUCGUGGAUCAGGUGCCACGGUGAAUGCGUUCCCGGGUCUUGUACACACCGCCCGUCACACCAUGGGAGUUGGUUCUACCUUAAGGCAAGGUUUAAUACCCUUGACCACGGUAUAGUCAGCGACUGGGGUG
rnacentral:rRNA from 2 species